rnacentral:lncRNA from 1 species
GUUGGUUAUGAUGCAUAAGGUUGGUUUGAACAAAACAUCAAAACCUCUAUCACAUAAUUGACUAAUGCUAAGUAGAUUAUGCUUAAGACCAUCAACAUAUCGGACAUUAUCAAUAAAGGUUGAAGGGGUAAUUUGUACUUUAUCUAUACCAAUGAUGUGACCUUGGUUAUUGUCUCCAAAUGUCACAGCACCUCCCUUCUUAGGCUCAAGGGUG